GACGAACGCUGGCGGCGUGCUUAACACAUGCAAGUCGAACGGAAAGGCCCUGCUUUUGUGGGGUGCUCGAGUGGCGAACGGGUGAGUAACACGUGAGUAACCUGCCCUUGACUUUGGGAUAACUUCAGGUAACUGGGGCUAAUAUAGGAUAGGAGCUCCUGCUGCAUGGUGGGGGUUGGAAAGUUUCGGCGGUUGGGGAUGGACUCGCGGCUUAUCAGCUUGUUGGUGGGGUAGUGGCUUACCAAGGCUUUGACGGGUGGCCGGCCUGAGAGGGUGACCGGCCUCAUUGGGACUGAGAUACGGCCCGGACUCCUACGGGAGGCAGCAGUGGGGAAGAUUGCACAAUGGGCGGAAGCCUAAUGCAGCAACGCCGCGUUCGGGAUGACGGCCUUCGGGUUGUAAACCGCUUUCGCCUGUGACGAAGCGUGAGUGACGGUAAUGGGUAAAGAAGCACCGGCUAACUACGUG
rnacentral:rRNA from 1 species